GACGAACGCUGGCGGCGUGCUUAACACAUGCAAGUCGAACGGUAAGGCCCUUCGGGGUACACGAGUGGCGAACGGGUGAGUAACACGUGGGUGAUCUGCCCUGCACUUCGGGAUAAGCCUGGGAAACUGGGUCUAAUACCGGAUAGGACCACUGCCUGCAUGGGUGGGGUGGAAAGCUUUUGCGGUGUGGGAUGGGCCCGCGGCCUAUCAGCUUGUUGGUGGGGUGAUGGCCUACCAAGGCGACGACGGGUAGCCGGCCUGAGAGGGUGACCGGCCACACUGGGACUGAGAUACGGCCCAGACUCCUACGGGAGGCAGCAGUGGGGAAUAUUGCACAAUGGGCGCAAGCCUGAUGCAGCGACGCCGCGUGAGGGAUGACGGCCUUCGGGUUGUAAACCUCUUUCAGCACCGACGAAGCGCAAGUGACGGUAGGUGCAGAAGAAGGACCGGCCAACUACGUGCCAGCCGCCGCGGUAA
rnacentral:rRNA from 1 species